rnacentral:rRNA from 1 species
UACGAAGGGGGCUAGCGUUGCUCGGAAUCACUGGGCGUAAAGCGCACGUAGGCGGCUUUUUAAGUCAGAGGUGAAAUCCUGGAGCUCAACUCCAGAACUGCCUUUGAUACUGGAGAGCUUGAGUCCGGGAGAGGUGAGUGGAACUGCGAGUGUAGAGGUGAAAUUCGUAGAUAUUCGCAAGAACACCAGUGGCGAAGGCGGCUCACUGGCCCGAUACUGACGCUGAGGCACGAAAGCGUGGGGAGCAACAGG